UUAUGUGUUGUAUCAUUAUAUGAGUAAUACAUGCUUAUUAUCUUACCAUACUUGUUUAGAUUACGGAGCAUCAGAGCCAAACAUGCAUAAUAUUGAAAAAAUAAGAGAAUUGAUUGUUCAGUUGUUGCAUACUUUGAUGCCAAUCAAUCUAAUAAAUUUGUCAAUAAAAGAUAAGCUUCUUCUAGUUGGUUAAGUAUUAUUUCUCUUGAUUACUUCCUGAAAAUAGAAUGACAACAUCUUCAAACGAGGCAGUAAAUGCACUGCAAUACCAGUGUGUGUGGAAGAUCAGCUAGUUACCCUUCAGUUCUCAUAAAUUUCUUCUCUUCCUUUGUUGUAAGCAGAUUUUUACAAAAUAACAAUUUGACUGGUCAAAUUCCAGCAAAUCUUAUUGGAAAACCAGGACUUAUCAUCAGAACUUCCGGCAAUAGUUUCUUGUCACCUCCAGCACCUUGAGAUAAAGACUUUCCUUUUGUCAAGAUUUUUUGCGUGCUUGGAUUAUUCUGAUUUUGGUGGAAAUUCUUCAUUUUCAACUCGAAAACCGAAGGUCGAACUUCAACUCAACCUUCUCUUGAUAAGAGCAUAUAGAUUUAUUGUUUUGACUUGGAGUGUACUUUCUGAUUGGUGGAACAGAUUCAUUCAACUUUGAUUCUCAGUUCCUUGAAAGUUAGAAUGUUCUGUUAUCAUUGUAUAGGCAUUAUUUAUUAUUUUAUUAAAAAAGUUCAUGCCUUUUUGGUGUUUUUUGUUUUUCAUACUCGUUUUAUAUUCUGGUUUUAGUGUACUACAUGUAUUUUAAAAAAGAAAAAACUUAUAACGGUCUCAUGCUAGAAAACUCAGGUUUAUUAAUAUCAGAUUGAAAUGGAA